CCUACGGGAGGCAGCAGUGGGGAAUAUUGCACAAUGGGGGAAACCCUGAUGCAGCAACGCCGCGUGAGUGAAGGAGUAUUUCGGUAUGUAAAGCUCUAUCAGUAGGGAAGAAGAAAGACGGUACCUGACUAAGAAGCCCCGGCUAACUACGUGCCAGCAGCCGCGGUAAUACGUAGGGGGCAAGCGUUAUCCGGAUUUACUGGGUGUAAAGGGAGCGUAGACGGCUGUGCAAGUCUGAAGUGAAAGCCCGUGGCUCAACCGCGGAACUGCUUUGGAAACUGUAUGGCUUGAGUACUGGAGAGGCAGGCGGAAUUCCUAGUGUAGCGGUGAAAUGCAUAGAUAUCACGCAGAACUCCGAUUGCGAAGGCAGCAUACCGGCGCCCGACUGACGCUGAGGCACGAAAGCGUGGGGAUCGAACAGGAUUAGAUACCCGGGUAGUC
rnacentral:rRNA from 1 species